UGGACGACUUUGUGCGCAUUUUCGCUAUUAUGUGUUCUUUUAAUUAAAAUGAUUCUUUUUAAAUCUCCAACAUUGCUUCGGCAUUUUGGGGAUUUGUUACUUUGAGUAAAUUAGAGUGUUCAAAGCAAACAGAUAUAGCAUUUGUGCGUUUGAAUACUACAGCAUGGAAUAACAAAAUUGAACAAGUCAAAAUUUUUGUUCUUUUUUCUUAUUUUGGCUUAGUUACGAUUAAUAGGAGUAGCUUGGGGGCAUUUGUAUUCAGAUGUCAGAGGUGAAAUUCUUAGAUUUUCUGGAGACAAACAACUGCGAAAGCAUUUGCCUAAAAUACUUCCRUUAAUCAAGAACGAAAGUUAAGGGAGUGAAGACGAUCAGAUACCGUCGUAAUCUUAACCAUAAACUAUGCCGACUAGGCUUGGAUAAAAGAUUAAAAAUAAGAUAGGU
rnacentral:rRNA from 1 species